AGCAGCCGCGGUAAUUCCAGCUCCAAUAGCGUAUAUUAAAGUUGUUGCAGUUAAAAAGCUCGUAGUUGAAUUUCGGGGUCAGCAGGUCGGUCGUGCCAAUGGUAUGCACUGGCCUUGCUGAUUCCUCCCUCUUGAUGAGCCGUAAUGCCAUUAAUUUGGUGUUGCGGGGAAUCAGGACUGUUACUUUGAAAAAUUAGAGUGUUUAAAGCAGGCAAGCGCUUGAAUACAUUAACAUGGAAUAAUGAAAUAGGACGUUUGAUCCUAUUUUGUUGGUUUCUAGGAUUGACGUAAUGAUUAAUAGGGAUAGUUGGGGGCAUUAGUAUUCAAUUGUCAGAGGUGAAAUUCUUGGAUUUAUUGAAGACUAACUACUGCGAAAGCAUUUGCCAAGGAUGUUUUCAUUAAUCAAGAACGAAAGUUAGGGGAUCGAAGACGAUCAGAUACCGUCGUAGUCUUAACCAUAAACUAUGCCGACUAGGGAUCGGAUGAUGUUAAUUUUUAAUGACUCAUUC
rnacentral:rRNA from 1 species